rnacentral:rRNA from 1 species
GACGUAGGAUGCAAGCGUUGUUCGGAUUUAUUGGGCGUAAAGCGAGCGUAGGUGGCUAGAUAAGUCUGGUGUUAAAGCUAGAGGCUCAACCUCUGUGUUGCACUGGAAACUGUCUGGCUUGAGUAUGGUAGGGGAAGGUGGAAUUCCGAGUGUAGCGGUGAAAUGCGUAGAUAUUCGGAGGAACACCGGUGGCGAAAGCGACCUUCUGGGCCAUUACUGACACUGAGGCUCGAAAGCUUGGGGAGCAAACGGG